GUUGGUUUCUCCUCCAUGGAAGCAUGGUUCCAACAAAGCCCCAUUAUCCUAAUUGGAUUAUCAGGGAGGUUAGAGUUGGCUAAAGGCUCAACUACUACUGAUUACGAGGCAGUUGGUAACUAGGUCGAGGUGCCUUUGCAGACUCGACUAUUGGUAGGUGUCUCGGAAUUUAGUAGCUAUAUGUUCAUCGAGUUUUUUCGCUAGACAUCGAGUCUCUUUUUGACAUGUAUAGACAAAUCUGAUGUUAAUUAUUAGAGUACAUACUGUAGACAAUGUAUGUAUAUUUUAAACGAGUAACGCUAGUACGAGUUGGC